rnacentral:rRNA from 1 species
UUAACUGGGCGCUCAGUCUCUGGAUAUAGACCCGAAACCGGGUGAUCUAGCCAUGGGCAGGUUGAAGGUUGAGUAACAUCAACUGGAGGACCGAACCGACUAAUGUUGAAAAAUUAGCGGAUGACUUGUGGCUAGGGGUGAAAGGCCAAUCAAACUCGGAGAUAGCUGGUUCUCCCCGAAAGCUAUUUAGGUAGCGCCUCGGACGAAUACUACUGGGGGUAGAGCACUGUUAAGGCUAGGGGGUCAUCCCGACUUACCAACCCUUUGCAAACUCCGAAUACCAGUAAGUACUAUCCGGGAGACACACGGCGGGUGCUAACGUCCGUCGUGGAGAGGGAAACAACCCAGACCGCCAGCUAAGGUCCCAAAGUAUUGCUAAGUGGGAAACGAUGUGGGAAGGCUCAGACAGCUAGGAUGUUGGCUUAGAAGCAGCCAUCAUUUAAAGAAAGCGUAAUAGCUCACUAGUCGAGUCGGCCUGCGCGGAAGAUGUAACGGGGCUAAGCAAUACACCGAAGCUGCGGCAAUAUCUUUUAGAUAUUGGGUAGGGGAGCGUUCUGUAAGCCGUUGAAGGUG